AGGACUAACGCUGGCGGCGUGCCUAACACAUGCAAGUCGAACGAGGGUAGCAAUACCCUAGUGGCAGACGGGUGAGUAACACGUAGUCAACCUACCUCUUAGUGGGGGAUAACUAAUCGAAAGGUUAGCUAAUACCGCAUACGAUCGUCGAGGGGCAUCUCUUGACGAUGAAAGGAGCAAUCCGCUUAGAGACGGGACUGCGUCCCAUUAGUUAGUUGGUGGGGUAACGGCCUACCAAGACAUCGAUGGGUAGCUGGCUUGAGAGAGCGACCAGCCACACUGGAACUGAGACACGGCCCAGACUCCUACGGGAGGCAGCAGUGGGGAAUUUUCCGCAAUGGGCGAAAGCCUGACGGAGCAAUGCCGCGUGGAGGUAGAAGGCCCACGGGUCGUAAACUCCGUUUCUCAGAGAAGAAACAAUGACGGUAUCUGAGGAAUAAGCAUCGGCUAACUCUGCGCCAGCAGCCGCGUA
rnacentral:rRNA from 1 species